rnacentral:rRNA from 1 species
UACGGGGGGGGCAAGCGUUAUUCGGAAUUACUGGGCGUAAAGGGCUCGCAGGUGGCCAACUAAGUCAGACGUGAAAUCCCUCGGCUUAACCGGGGAACUGCGUCUGAUACUGGAUGGCUAGAGAUUGGGAGAGGGAUGCGGAAUUCCAGGUGUAGCGGUGAAAUGCGUAGAUAUCUGGAGGAACACCGGUGGCGAAGGCGGCAUCCUGGACCAACACUGACGCUGAGGAGCGAAAGCCAGGGGAGCAAACGGG